rnacentral:rRNA from 1 species
UUGUUGGGUGGAUGAGUGGCGAACGGGUGAGUAACACGUGAGUAACCUGCCCUCUUCUUUGGGAUAACGCCCGGAAACGGGUGCUAAUACUGGAUAUUCACUGAUCUUCGCAUGGGGGUUGGUGGAAAGGUUUGUUCUGGUGGGGGAUGGGCUCGCGGCCUAUCAGCUUGUUGGUGGGGUGAUGGCCUACCAAGGCUUUGACGGGUAGCCGGCCUGAGAGGGUGACCGGUCACAUUGGGACUGAGAUACGGCCCAGACUCCUACGGGAGGCAGCAGUGGGGAAUAUUGCACAAUGGGCGCAAGCCUGAUGCAGCGACGCCGCGUGAGGGAUGGAGGCCUUCGGGUUGUAAACCUCUUUCGCUCAUGGUCAAGCCGCGACGUGGGUUGUGGUGAGGGUAGUGGGUAAAGAAGCGCCGGCUAACUACGUGCCAGCAGCCGCGGUAAUACGUAGGGCGCGAGCGUUGUCCGGAAUUAUUGGGCGUAAAGGGCUUGUAGGCGGUUGGUCGCGUCUGCCGUGAAAUUCUCUGGCUUAACUGGGGGCGUGCGGUGGGUACGGGCUGACUUGAGUGCGGUAGGGGAGACUGGAACUCCUGGUGUAGCGGUGGAAUGCGCAGAUAUCAGGAAGA